CUAAGUUUCCCACUCAAUAUUUUUCAAAAGACGAAGUGAGCUUGUACAAAUUUUCACGCACUGCUGAAUCAUGGACCCGGGUUCGACUCCCAAUUGAAGUCAAUAUUAUUGUUAGAGAUAUCUGGUUUUCGUGUUGUGCGUUGUCACGGAAUAGAUAAAUAAGGUUGGAAUGGUAAUGUAGGCGGGGCAAGCGUGCCACAGUUAUGAUCGUACAAACAUAACUCGACCGAUUCUUUCAUUCACCGCGUUUAGUGCGCUUCGGACUACUUGGCGAACAGAUCUCCGCUUUAUAGUGCCGUGUUGUGCAAUUAUAACUUGUAAAACAAAAAAUCAGACCUCAAGUAUAGAGCGAGGAGGUAUAUCUUUCGAUCGGUUUCCUAAAGAACCUAACGCCAGGGAACAAUGGAUUGACGUGACAGGUAGAGGAAACUGGAGACAAAGACGAGUACUAUUUGCUCUAAACAUUUUACUGAAAAUGAUUUUAUCAUAAAAAAAAGUGUGUGUGUCCGCUCCGACGCACGACUGGAGUUUACUGGAUAUAAAAAAUUAAACGAAACAAUACGAGAAAUAGUUCUAUAUUACGACAACACGAUACACUACAGAUUAUUAACAAAUUAACGAGACACAAAACAAACGACUAACAAAUAUAUGAAAAUACAAUAAUGAGAGAAACGCGCGAUUAGUACGAGGCUUUGUGGCGGACUGCCGGCGCAGCAGCCCGGCGUCACCUGCGAUAGCGCAUUUCGUGUGACAUGCGCAAUCAGGCGCAUAACGCAUUUCGUGUGACAUGCUAGUACGAUUUUGGUCCCCAUAAUUUUCAUACCCCGGGCCUAUAUAUGUAAAUCGAUUCUAACGGAGUAAACUCCAAAAAAAUCAGAAUACACUUAGUUUUGAAAAAUUCAUUCGCAAUUAAUAGCAAGCGCCAACUGCUUAACAAAUACGUUUUAUUCCAGCGACAGUGACUAUUUGUAAUUAAUAAAAGUAAAAUAGUUUUUUUUUUCAAUAUUUAUUUCAUGUUUCAUUUUCUCCAUUCAUUCAUCAGAUAAUUUAUCGAUAAAGAAUAUCGAUUUUAUCAAGCACUAUCGUGUAUGAACAUUUUUAUUGCCUUUUUGCGUGUGUGAGUGUGUAUGCCUACGGGUGUUUUGCGCUAGUUUGCGAACGAAUAUCUGUCCUGAGAUUUAUGUGUGGGUGUUUUUGUUGUGUGCGAAAUACUUGUAAUCACAGUGUGUGUAUGUGUAGAAAUUAAAAUAGUGGGGAUGAAGCGGC